CACGUACCGGACGAACGUUAUUCGGAAUUACUGGGCUUAAAGAGUACGUAGGCGGCCUUGUAGGUGAGGUGUGAAAUCCCACGGCUUAACCGUGGAAUGGCGCUUCAAACCACAAGGCUUGAGGGAGACAGGGGUGAGCGGAACAGAUGGUGGAGCGGUGAAAUGCGUUGAUAUCAUCUGGAACACCGGUGGCGAAGGCGGCUCACUGGGUCUCUUCUGACGCUGAGGUACGAAAGCUAGGGUAGCGAACGGG
rnacentral:rRNA from 1 species